UUCCAGACUCCUACGGGAGGCAGCAGUGGGGAAUAUUGCACAAUGGGGGAAACCCUGAUGCAGCGACGCCGCGUGAGUGAAGAAGUAUCUCGGUACGUAAAGCUCUAUCAGCAGGGAAGAAAAUGACGGUACCUGACUAAGAAGCCCCGGCUAACUACGUGCCAGCAGCCGCGGUAAUACGUAGGGGGCAAGCGUUAUCCGGAUUUACUGGGUGUAAAGGGAGCGUAGACGGCAGCGCAAGUCUGGAGUGAAAGCCCGGGGCCCAACCCCGGAACUGCUCUGGAAACUGUGCGGCUAGAGUACUGGAGGGGCAGGCGGAAUUCCUAGUGUAGCGGUGAAAUGCGUAGAUAUUAGGAGGAACACCAGUGGCGAAGGCGGCCUGCUGGACAGUAACUGACGUUGAGGCUCGAAAGCGUGGGGAGCAAACAGGAUUAGAUACCCGGGUAA
rnacentral:rRNA from 1 species